GCCGCGGUGCUGGAAUUGGUUUACAGGUGCGACUCAAAAUCGCAUGAGGGAAACCUCGUGUGGGUUCGACUCCCACCCGCGGCACUA
rnacentral:tRNA from 4 species